AGAAACUGGGCGCCGCGUAGGUGAUGGAGAAGGCAGCAGCGCGCCCAAUCCCAGUCGCCCGACGAUAGUCGCGCCGGCGGACUGUUGCUCCUCCGCGUCCCGCUUUUUCGGCUCGUACGUCCAAGGAGAACGGUUUCGCGAGAGCCGAAACGUCGCGUCGUCGACCGGGACCCGUCGAGUGCGACGUGAGUGCGUGCGGGCGCCUUUGGCCAACCCAUCGGAAAAAGCUUCUUCGGACAACAACACCUCAUCGCUGUGUAUAUUUUGCCCGUUUCCAUACUACAGGAAGUGCGGUCGACUCGCGGGUAGGAGCAUUUUUUUUCGGUGGAGUUUUUUCAUCGUUCUGCGCUUGGAGGCAGUGGCAAAAUCUGACGGUGGUCUUCUGGUGUCCGACAUCGGUGCUGCAUGUCGCUACGGACCGCAUCGCCCCGUUUGGUGUGUGUGUUUGUGGACGGGUGUCUCGCGGGUGUGCGCGGCCGGUCGGCCUGUACCGCUUACGCGGAUUCCUGACGGAUUUCUAGAAGAACGAGCACAUCGCGGUCGGCGGAUCGCGAUAACACAGGUACGUGAGCCCUCGGCGGCGAAGUC
rnacentral:lncRNA from 1 species